rnacentral:rRNA from 1 species
UACGGAGGGCGCAAGCGUUGUUCGGACUUACUGGGCGUAAAGCGCACGUAGGCGGGUCGUUAAGUCAGGGGUGAAAUCCCGGAGCUCAACUCCGGAACUGCCUUUGAUACUGGCGAUCUAGAGAUCGAGAGAGGUGAGUGGAAUUCCGAGUGUAGAGGUGAAAUUCGUAGAUAUUCGGAAGAACACCAGUGGCGAAGGCGGCUCACUGGCUCGAUACUGACGCUGAGGUGCGAAAGCGUGGGGAGCAAACAGG